GACGAACGCUGGCGGCGUGCUUAACACAUGCAAGUCGAGCGGAAAGGCCCUUCGGGGUACUCGAGCGGCGAACGGGUGAGUAACACGUGAGUAACCUGCCCUGGACUUUGGGAUAACCCUCGGAAACGGGGGCUAAUACCGGAUACGACUGCCGAUCGCAGGAUCUGGUGGUGGUAAGUUUUUCGGUCUGGGAUGGGCUCGCGGCCUAUCAGCUUGUUGGUGGGGUGAUGGCCUACCAAGGCGACGACGGGUAGCCGGCCUGAGAGGGUGACCGGCCACACUGGGACUGAGACACGGCCCAGACUCCUACGGGAGGCAGCAGUGGGGAAUAUUGGACAAUGGGCGAAAGCCUGAUCCAGCAACGCCGCGUGAGGGAUGACGGCCUUCGGGUUGUAAACCUCUUUCACCUCUGACGAAGCGCAAGUGACGGUAAGGGGAGAAGAAGGACCGGCCAACUACGUGCCAGCCGCCGCCGUAA
rnacentral:rRNA from 1 species